GAGAGUGCACCCGAAGUACUCCAGCUAUGGAGGAAAGUAUUUCCAACAAGAAGUACGACGUCAAAAGAGACAACGCAGCUGUUGGAAGAGACAAACGCCUCUACCACCCACAAAAACCACGACAGUUAUUCCUCGGGACCGCCAGACAGUCAUAUCCUAAUUCCUGAUGGCCGGAGAAUCAUCACUAAUAGAAUCACCUCUUCCCAAGGACAUGCUGCUCUGAGGUCAAAAGAAAAUACUUCCAUAAAUAUAUUCUGGCCUCCCGAAAAUGGUUCAUCCGGGGAGGGCCAACCUCAGCAUAUCUUCGUUGACAACAUUGUGUUGUCGACUAUACCUGAAAUUCCCGAUCGAAGGGAGGAGCAUGUUCCGCUACGAGGCGGAAACACCAGCGCAUCAUUUUCGGCUGAACUGCGAAGCGAUAAGGAGGGAAGUGGAGUGCUUGAAGCAAACGGAAGCGAAGGCGGUGUAGCGACGAUUCCUGAAACGCCUUCAGCAGAGAGCGGCACGGAUACUUCACUUGAUUCUACGGCACGCGUUGAUGGUAACGGCACGGGGUCCUCUUCGACGAACGUUUUAUUACCGUUGGACGAAAACUAUGACAACAAUGACGACUACGAGGCUUCGGGUAAUUUUUCGGCGGAACAAACGAAUAGUGAAAGCGUGGGGAAUUUGUCGCGCAUAGACCUAUUGGUGGCAUCAUCUUUACUGCGAGAUACUACGAUUAGUUUGCCGCCAAUUACUCAUGACCAAAAUGCCACCUCAUUACUUCGGAACGACGGAAAUAAGUGAUGAUGUUCAGAUACACCAUUUAACCGGGGCAAUAAAUAACGCAGUGAACAGCGGAGUGAACCUGGCAGAGACUGAUUUUCUUCAACUCGUAAAGAAUAAAUCGAUACGUGCCUGUA
rnacentral:lncRNA from 1 species